ACUCCUACGGGAGGCAGCAGUGGGGAAUAUUGCACAAUGGGCGCAAGCCUGAUGCAGCCAUGCCGCGUGUAUGAAGAAGGCCUUCGGGUUGUAAAGUACUUUCAGCGGGGAGGAAGGGAGUAAAGUUAGUACCUUUGCUCAUUGACGUUACCCGCAGAAGAAGCACCGGCUAACUCCGUGCCAGCAGCCGCGGUAAUA
rnacentral:rRNA from 1 species